UACGUAGGGUGCGGGCGUUGUCCGGAAUCAUUGGGCGUAAAGAGCGUGUAGGCGGCUUGGUAAGUCCGCUGUGAAAGUCCAGGGCUCAACCCUGGAAAGCCGGUGGAAACUGUCAAGCUUGAGUCCGGAAGAGGCGAGUGGAAUUCCUGGUGUAGCGGUGAAAUGCGCAGAUAUCAGGAGGAACACCAAUGGCGAAGGCAGCUCGCUGGGACGGUACUGACGCUGAGACGCGAAAGCGUGGGGAGCAAACAGG
rnacentral:rRNA from 1 species